rnacentral:pre_miRNA from 1 species
UUUAGAAUUCCUACGCUUUACCGUUUCACUUGAAAGGCAAAGCGUUUGAAUUCUGAAAC